UGCGCUUCUGCCGUGUCUUGUUGGCACCGCUGCCGUCCUGGUUGCUGACGAAGUCGUCCAUGAGGUAGAGCGGUGGCGGUUGCAGAGGAGGUCGGUCGCUGAGAAGCACGCGAGUAAGAAGGUCUGUCCUCUGUGAGCUGUUGGUGAUAUUCAGUGCAGAUUUUCAUGCUAAAUAAGCAUGCAAGCGACAGGCCUCACUUGGCAAUUAUCAGAUGCGUCACUUUCCCGGUUUUCUUUCAGAUCAACGUAUCCACUGUGCAUUCUGGGAUCACCUGAAAUCAAACUGAUUUAACGAGAGAAUGUGAGCCACGGCGGCCGCUGCAAAACAUCUUAACAUCAAACCUAGAGCGGUCAAAUCAUAAGUGACACUAAACUACAGACUACAGUACAGUGUAGAGUACAGGAACUGAGGUUUAAUGGUGACACUGAUGCACAAAGACAGACGUGUUGCAGCAGACAGUCAAGGGUUACAGCUGCUACAUCAAAGGAUCAUUUGGCAUGAGUGUCUGAUGAAAAUAAAUUUUCAGUGUGCUUCCUAAUAUUUAAGCUGCCCCGGGUGUUUCUAUAUCUUUUCAGAACCACAUGUCUUGCCUUCGAAGAACUGCAGGGUUUGGGAGGUCUUGGCAUGGAGGUUGAUAGUGUCAUGGGAUGGUUUGUUACAUAAACGAUUGGUUUCAAAUUAGACUUUGGUGACGAAAACAAACACAAAAGACCUCUUGUUCUGAAGGAAUGUUUGAUCUUUUAUCAUUUGACACUGAGUUCAGAUUAGUUCACCUGAAUUUUACAGAAAAUUAUCUAAUUUGUCAUUGAUGUCACAAGUUUGCAGCCAAUUGUCUGCGCGUACUAUCAACACUGACCGUUGUUGUUUAAGAUAUUGAAAUCUUGAUGUCUGUAAGGGACAAGCGAAUGAGGGAUUGUGAAUCAGACCCACGGCGCUCAGAGGAGACUGUUAAUCACUCCGUCCUCAUUAUCGGUCAAUAAGCAUCGCUAAUUUUGCUUUUUGGCAGGGGUGAUGCAUGCAAUUCAAAAGAGGGACGGCACAACAAAGUCACCUUGCAGGCAGUGGCGUAGAAAAUUACUCAGUUUUAUUGCCUUUACAAAUUAAUUUUUUCUGCCUGUGCAGUUGCUGAGUUCACAGCACAUUACUGAAGUUGUGACUGAAUAAUUGUACUAAAUAUAUAAUCUGUAGUAAAGAAUUUUGCAAGAGAAUCAGAUUAAUUCCAAGGUGUACUAAUUAGCUAAAUUUGAUAAACCAAAUCCAAUUUACAUUUGCAGGGCAUUUAGCAAGACACAAAGGGAUCAAAUUUGCACUAAAUUCUCAGGCAGUAAAUCUGCUAAAAAUCAAAAUAAGGCCAAAAAUGCAAAAUCCCAUGCAAUUAAACUGCUUUUAUGCAUGUUUGUUCAAAAUAAAAUACACUUUAUUUAACCAUAACAGCCUCUUAAAAUGUAAACAGUUAUUUUAUGAGUUUUUUUUUUUGGGUUGUAUCAACCCUCUGGUGUUUUUCUGUACUUUUUUCUCUGGUCAUUCUUGACCAAAAUAAAUUUAUGUUUUUUUUUUUGGUUUUGUUUUGAAUUGGUUUACUCUAUCUUAAUGGUACAAAACAUGAUAAACGUUUUGGUGUUUACUAUGUGAACACACACACACACACAAAAUGGACAUAUUCAUGGCAAAAAUAUUUACACGGUCAAAAUGACUGCAUUGAAUGGCAAAGCGGAAUGAACUGUAAGUGUAUUUCA